AGUGAACGCUGGCGGUAUGCCUAACACAUGCAAGUCGAACGGCAGCACAGUAAGAUCUUGCUCUUACGGGUGGCGAGUGGCGGACGGGUGAGGAAUACAUCGGAAUCUACUUUUUCGUGGGGGAUAACGUAGGGAAACUUACGCUAAUACCGCAUACGACCUACGGGUGAAAUCAGGGGAUCUUCGGACCUUGCGCGAUUGAAUUAGCCGAUGUCGGAUUAGCUAGUUGGCGGGGUAAAGGCCCACCAAGGCGACGAUCCGUAGCUGGUCUGAGAGGAUGAUCAGCCACACUGGAACUGAGACACGGUCCAGACUCCUACGGGAGGCAGCAGUGGGGAAUCUUGGACAAUGGGCGCAAGCCUGAUCCAGCCACACCGCGUGGGUGAUGAAGGUCUUCGGGUCGUAAAGCCCUGUUGUUGGGAAAGAAAAGCAGUAGGUUAAUACGUCGCUGUUCUGACGGUACCUAAAGAAUAAGCACCGGCUAACUUCGUG
rnacentral:rRNA from 1 species